AUUAGGUCGUUUCUUCAAGUGUGAAUACAUAUAUCAAGUUGGUCAUCAUAUAAAGCACCAUAUAAAACUGAAGUUCACCUAUAGAUAAUAUAGUCUUUUAGUCAAAUUGAAGUAAGAUCUAACCUUCUGUUCAUGUUUAUAUUUUAGGUGGCAAAGCAGCUGAAGCGUAUGCCUCGGGACAAAAUGUUUACGUUCCAACACCUCAGGUAAACCAGAGUAGAAAUCACUAUUUCUUAGGGUAACUUUGCACCGUCCGCCCCACCACCUUACGAAGCCAGCAAAAAGAAGGAUCAAUAAACAUUUCAAUGAAAAUGAACUUAAUAUAAUUAGUGUUGAUGGUGUUUAUGAAGG
rnacentral:lncRNA from 1 species